rnacentral:lncRNA from 1 species
AGAAAGCUGCGGUGGUCUGAGCAACAUAGCCCAAAGGGCUGAGCCUCCUGGCCUGCCUGCCCGCCCACCCUGGGAGUCCCAGUGGUGAGGCUCAGAGAACUGCUAAGGGGAAAGAACAGCUGGAGUUUCUGUUGAUGUGAAGAAGGCAGCUCUUGGCCUCCCACUCCCACACUUCUUUGCCUAUAAAUCUUCCUAGCAGCAAUUUGAGCUACCUGAGGAGGAGGCAGGGCAGAAAGGGCGAGGGCCUGCCUCUGACCUGCCGUGUCCUUUGCAGGAAGGAGGUAGGCACCUUUCUGAGCUUAUUCUAUUCCCCACCCACACCCCCAGGCAGGGUUGGAAAUGAAGGACUUUUUUAACCUUUGUUUUGUUUUUUAAAAAUAAAUCUGUAAAAUCU